UGGGGAAUAUUGGGCAAUGGGGGGAACCCUGACCCAGCAACGCCGCGUGAAGGAAGAAGGUUUUCGGAUUGUAAACUUCUGUCCUUGGUGAAGAGGAAGAGACGGUAGCCAAGGAGGAAGCCCCGGCUAACUACGUGCCAGCAGCCGCGGUAAUACGUAGGGCGCGAGCGUUGUCCGGAUUUAUUGGGCGUAAAGAGCUCGUAGGCGGUUUGUCGCGUCUGCUGUGAAAUCCUCUGGCUUAACUGGGGGCGUGCAGUGGGUACGGGCAGACUGGAGUGCGGUAGGGGAGACUGGAAUUCCUGGUGUAGCGGUGGAAUGCGCAGAUAUCGGGAGGAACACCGGUGGCGAAGGCGGGUCUCUGGGCCGUUACUGACGCUGAGGAGCGAAAGCAUGGGGAGCGAACAGG
rnacentral:rRNA from 1 species